GGGGAGAUACCAAAGCGGCCAACUGGGGCAGACUGUAAAUCUGUUGUCGAAUGACUUCGUAGGUUCGAAUCCUGCUCUCCCCACAA
rnacentral:tRNA from 1 species